UACGGGGGGAGCAAGCGUUGUUCGGAUUUACUGGGCGUAAAGGGCGCGUAGGCGGCGCAACAAGUCACUUGUGAAAUCUCCGGGCUUAACCCGGAGCGGCCAAGUGAUACUGUCGGGCUAGAGUGCGGAAGAGGCGAGUGGAAUUCCUGGUGUAGCGGUGAAAUGCGCAGAUAUCAGGAGGAACACCUAUUGCGAAGGCAGCUCGCUGGGACGUUACUGACGCUGAGACGCGAAAGCGUGGGGAGCAAACAGG
rnacentral:rRNA from 1 species